ensembl:lncRNA
UAAAGAAAGGAAAAAAGCUCUAGACCUGCGGCAGGCUGAGACAGUGACCACACUCUCCAGAGCAGCCAUGAAGAAUUUUCCAUCACAGACGGCUCCAGCUGCUGCUCCGGCAGAGAUCACAGAACCAUCUACAAAAGCCUGGGCAAGAUUUUAAACUUUUCAUUACCCAGAUGAGACUUGCGGAUUAAUCCUUUUAUCCAGAGAGAGAAAAAGAGAGCGAUCAACAUGUAAAGAGACUUUAUAAACUAUCAGAGACAGUAAAGAAAAAGAAGUUUCAGAAAAGGUAGAGAAUAAGGAGAUGCUUUAUGAGCUGAAAUACCUUUCUGUUGAGACUAUGGAAAUGGACAAUAAGGUCUUGAAAAAACUCCUUUAAUUCAUGACAGUAUAUAGGGAGGAAUGGAGUGUUCAAAGUGUAAAUUUUAAAUAAAAAGUAGAGUUAUUGUGAUACAGUAAAGUGCUAGAAUAAAGUGAAGCGAAAAUUUGAAGUCUUGGGGGGCAAUGAGAAAACUGUUUUUCAGUGGAGCUCACAAAGACAGAUGAAGAAGACUUUUGUGUUUGAAUAACUCAUCCUUAAAAUGACAUCCCUAGACUCAUGGCCCAUACACACCUCAGAGUGAUGUGAAAUGGGAGGAGUGAGCUCUGAUAACAGCAGCUCUGGGCAGCUGACAUCAGGGCAAUAGAAAACUAUAACAGAAGUCGUUUUCUUGUGAGAAACUCCAUAAAUUAACAGAAAGAGACUUCUGUUUCUCUACAAAGACUGGUGAAAAGACUGCAGCAGGAAUUGGGACUGUUUUAACCAUCCAAGUUCCAAAGUUUUUGUCUCUGUUGUCAUGUGAACAAGGGAAUGGUGGGUAGUAGGAGAUAAAAAGGGUUUUCUGGAAGUUUAUUCUGGUGUUCUUAUUCUUGUAGUUUGUUAAUAAACUUUCUUUAUUCCUUUUAAGUUUUAAGCCUGUUUUGCUCUUGUUCUAAUCUAUAUCUCACAGCAAGAAAUAAGUAAUUUUUUUUUAGUUACUGGUUUAAAACCACGACACUUUCCUUCCUUUUCACCCAGGCACCUUUGUACAAAAGCAUCAAAGACACCCAGCUGGUCCAGUCCCUUCACCAGGAAUAUCCCUUUAUCCUGCAGUGCUCAGAAAGUGAUGGAUUGAGACACUGGUCCUCUCUGGAGGCAGCAGAACACUCUGUACCACUGCCAUGCUUAGCCAGGAUGGGAGCUGUCCUUGGGCUAAGGUAACAGAGAUCCUUAGGCUCUCUUGGUGUCCCUGCUCUCCUCUGCUCUUCCUGGUCCUGAUUUGCUCUAGCUAGGCUGAUGAUGGACCAUCUCCAUAGGGAAACUGACAUAGAGCCUGCUAAAACAUUGGUAUACUGAGCUGAGCCUACCCUGAGCUGGUGGUGGCUCAAAUGCAAUUCCAAGGCAAUGCUUUAUCUUGGAUUUCUAAAUUACUAACCUAGGCCUCAAAAAAUGGCUAUUUUUGUCUCUCUUAUUGGGUGGUGAGGUCUUGGAACAGAUUGCCUAGGGAAGCUGUGGCUGCGUCAUCCCUGGAAGUGUUCAAUGCCAGGCUGGACAGGACUUGGAACAACCUGGGAUAGUGGAAGGUGUCCCUGCCCAUGGCAGGGGUGGGAUGGGAUUUAAGGUCUCUUCCAACCUAAACCAUUUCAUGGUUUUAUGACAUUUGGACACGGAAGUGUCCCAAAUGCUAGAGCAGCUGACAAAGAAAUUACUAGAAAGUGGAUCUGGUUUUGAUAAACCUGUUUGGAUUUUGGUGUUAAAAUCAUUCUUCGCCUGUAAACUUUGACUCAACCUUAGGUGCAAAUCCAAGGUAGCAGGUCAUAAGGGUCACUGGUAAAACAGGGGAAGGGAGGAUGGAUGUGGACUGAGAGGUCUUUCACACUAGUUACAAACACAAGUGAAGGCAAACAUAGAAGACAGUGACUUUGACAAUCUCAUUCCUGAGAGGAGCCAGGGAACAGCAGGGUCCUUGAACACAAGUCUCACAUCUGUUGAUGGAAAGUUGCACGGUAGGAUUUUUCCAGAAGUAUACCAGGUUAGUCUUCCUGCCUGCAGGAGCCCAUGGUCAUCCUGCUCUGCCUGCAGCCAUGUGAGGACCAUAAGAGCCUGGCCAUGAACCAUUGGUCAGAUCCUCUCACUUGCUGAGCUCAGCAGAACCACAGCAAGGGGGAAGCUGAGAACACUGAGGAUUAUCAGAUGAACAAGAAGCAUCAACUGCAUUCUU